GACGAACGCUGGCGGCGUGCUCAACACAUGCCAGCCGAACGGAAAGGCCCUGCUUUUGUGGGGUGCUCGAGUGGCGAACGGGUGAGUAACGCGUGAGUAACCUGCCCUUGACUUUGGGAUAACUUCAGGCAACUGGGGCUCAUACCGGAUAGGAGCUCCUGCUGCAUGGUGGGGGUUGGAAAGUUUCGGCGGUUGUGGAUGGACUCGCGGCUUAUCAGCUUGUUGGUGGGGUAGUGGCUUACCAAGGCUUUGACGGGUAGCCGGCCUGAGAGGGUGACCGGCCACAUUGGGACUGAGAUACGGCCCAGACUCCUACGGUAGGCAGCAGUGGGGAAUAUUGCCCAAUGGGCGGAAGCCUGAUGCAGCAACGCCGCGUGCGGGAUGACGGCCUUCGGGUUGUAAACCGCUUUCGCCUGUGACGAAGCGUGAGUGACGGUAAUGGGUAAAGAAGCACCGGCUAACUACGUG
rnacentral:rRNA from 1 species